CUUGAUUAUUUUCAGAGAGAAACUAAUUAAUUUUUAGUCAAAACUUGUGGAAAUUUCACAUAUACUUUAUACUAAUUUUAAAUAUUUUAGGUAAUUUCAUAGAUUCAUUUUAUUUAUCCAUUUGUGUUCAGUUCUUUACACUGUGCAACUUCAGAGUUUCCAGAAAAGCAGCAGUUGUUAUCCUCAUGUUAACUUUUCACUGAUUUCAAAUAAUGAUGAUCUUUGUUUCUUUUCUGGGUAAAUGGUACCAUCUGUCCUAAUUGGAUGCUAAAUGUAUGGUUCCAAAACUGUAAUACAUGAGGACACAUUAAUUUGUGAUAAAAAUUGAUAGGUAGUAGGCAGACAUGAGCAGUGGGAACCUGAGGUUAAAUAUAUAAAUCUAUAGACAGUGCUUUUUUGAAAAAAGCAAUUUACUUAGGGCCUCUCUGGCCCGGCUCUGGCUUAAGUCAAUGGAAUAUAUUGCAUUCUUCAGCAAGCAACCUGUUGCCAGUAGAAGAAAUGCAGGCCCAAAGACACCUCCUUGCCAAUACAAAGAGAGAAAGUUACCCUCCCAGGGUAACUUGUGACCUUCAUGUAGAUCAAAGUUUCCAGAACUUUUGGAAGACAGGAUUAUUAGAUGUAAAGCCCACCAACCAUAAAAUCUGUAAGUUUCAAUUAGAACAUGUCAACAUAGGCCAUUAUGACCCAUAAUUGCCUUUGGAUAUUUUGCAUGUCAUUAUAAUAUCAAAUUUCAUCUGUCUGGGUUUUGCCUCUGUGCCUAUAGGUAAUAGCAUGUGCAGUGGAGAUUAGGAAAACUGGUGCAGUCUUGUUUUCAGUCAAAAGUUCAGAGCUGGACCUGGUCAGGACUCUCUGGAAAUUUCUCGGAGACUCCCAAUAAAACUGGAAGGCAGGAGCAGGGAUUGCACUGUUCGUCUCCUCUCUGAGAGGACCCACUCUCUACCUUUUUCCCUUAUCAAUGUGCUUUUUAGCUUUUUCCUUNCCAGCUAAUUAGAUUUAACCCAAUAAUCUAAUAAACUGAGAAUGGAUGUUAGGACAAAGAGAUUGAGAAACUUAUCUAUGGAUUCAAAGCAAAUAAAUGGUAAAGUCAGAUUUAAAAUCAAAGCAGUGUAUUAAUGGGGAGGAAGAAAGGAAUAUCCAAAUAAAAGGAUUUGCCCAUUGAGUAGUUUUGUGGCCUUUUAAUUCAAGAUAUACUUGAUUCAAAAUUUCAUGAGCAUUUCAUAAGAAAUAGAAUUAAGUAUAAUUUACUUUGAAGUUUAAAUUCUGUUACAUUUUUCAGAUUUACAUAAUGCCCCACUCAUAAUGGCAAACAACAGUGAAGAUUUGAUAUGUUAUUAGUUUUCUAGGGCUGUCAUACAAAAUACCAUAGACUAGGUUGCUUAAACAACUGAAAUUUAUUUCCUCACUGAUCAAGAUGUUAGCCGGUUUGGUUUCUUUUGAAGUGUAGGAAGCUUUAUAAUCUCUCUUUAGCUUCACAUGACCAUUUUCUCCCUGGGUCUUCAUGUAGUUUUCCCUUUGGCCAUGUUUGCAUCCUAAUCUCCUCUUCUUAUAAGAAAACUAGUCAUAUUGGAUCAGAGGCCACUGUAAUGACUUCCUUUAACUGUAAUUACAUCAUUGAAACUCUCCACAUAUAGCCAUGUUUUGAGAUAUUGGGUUCAAGGACUUUAAUGUACGAUUUUAGACAAUAGAAAUUCAACUCAUAAAGCCACUAAACUUCCUGAUUCCAAAAUGUAUUUCAAAGAUAUAGUAAUCAAAAAAAAAAAAAAAAACAUUACUCACAUAUAACAGACUGACUAAUGAAACAGAAAGAAACCCCAGAAAUAUAUUCACUCAUUUAUGAUCAAUUUAUUUUUUGAAAAAGAUGCCAAGAACACAUAAUAGGGAAAGAACAAUGUCUUCAAUAAUUGUUGGAAAAUUUAUAUCCAUGUGCAGGAAAAUGAAAUGAGACCCUUGUCUCCUUUCAUAUAUAAAAAUCAACUCAAAAUGCAUUAACGACUUCAACAUAAGACACCAAACCAUAAAAGAAAUAGGAUAAAAUAUGGGAAAACUCCAUGACAUUAGCCUGGGGAAUAAUUUUUUGGAUAGGACCCCAAAAUCCCAGGCUUACCAUUUCUGUACAGAAAUGGUAACAACAAGGACAUAGACAAUAGACAGAUUGAGAGUCUAUAUAUGUAAACCAAAUAAGGGAUUAAUAUUCAGAAAGGUAAGCAACCACUUUAACUCGAUAGUAACAAUACAGCCUGAUUAGAAGAUGGGAAAAGGUCCUGACUAGACAUUCUCAUUAAAAGGGACAAGAAGUACAGUGAAUAUGAAAGAUGCUCAAUACUACUAAUCAAUAAGGGAAAUGUUGAAUACAUUGACAAUAAGGUAUCAUUUAUACCCAUUAAAAUAGUUAUUAUCAUAGAUGAACAUUAAGUCAACUUUUCACUGUUAUGACCAAAAGAACUGACAAGAACAAUUUUACAGGAUGGAAAAUUUAUUUUGGAAGAAAAAAUUUAUUUUGGGGCUCAUGGUUUCAAAGUUUUCAAUCCAUAGAUGGCUUACUCAUUGCUUUGGGUUUCAGGUGAGGCAGAACAUCCUGGCAGAAGAAUGUGGCAGAGAAAAACAGUUUAGGACAUAGAAUCAGGAAGCAGAAAGGGAGCCCUCCCCUUCUGCAAAAACAGAACAAAACAAAUACCCAAAGGUAUGACCCAAUGACCCACCUCCUGCCGCCAUAUCCUACCUACCUACAGUUACUUUCCAGUAAUCCCUAUUAGGAGAUUAAUAGGUUAAACUCUCAUAACCCAACAAUUCUACUCCUAAACUUCUUUGCAUUGUCUCUCACACGAGCUUUUGUGGGACAUAUCACAUCUAAAACAUAAUAAACAAGUGUUAGGAGGUGUAGAAAAGAAAACUCUUGCACAUUGUUGGUGAGAUGUAAAGUAGCACAGCCAUUAUGGAAAAUGAUAUGUAUGUUCCUCAAAAUAUUAAAAAUCGAAUUACCAUUUGAUCCACUUAUCCCACUACUGGAUAUAUAUUCAGAAGACAAGAAUCCAGCCUGUCAAAGGAAU
rnacentral:lncRNA from 1 species